rnacentral:rRNA from 1 species
ACCAAGCUUCCAGGAAAAGCCACUAAGCUUCAGUCUAGAGUUGACCGUACCGCAAACCGACACAGGUGGGCAGGAUGAAAAUUCUAAGGCGCUUGAGAGAACUCAGGAGAAGGAACUCGGCAAAUUAACACCGUAACUUCGGGAGAAGGUGUGCCCCGUAGCGUGUAGAGACUUGCUCUCGAAGCGCGAUGGGGUUGCAGUGAAAUGGUGGCUGCGACUGUUUAAUAAAAACACAGCACUCUGCAAACACGAAAGUGGACGUAUAGGGUGUGACGCCUGCCCGGUGCCGGAAGGUUAAGUGAUGGGGUGCAAGCUCUUGAUCGAAGCCCCGGUAAACGGCGGCCGUAACAAUAACGGUCCUAAGGUAGCGAAAUUCCUUGUCGGGUAAGUUCCGACCUGCACGAAUGGCGUAACGAUGGCCACACUGUCUCCUCCUGGGACUCAGCGAAGUUGAGAUGUUUGUGAAGAUGCAAUCUACCCGCGGCUAGACGGAAAGACCCCAUGAACCUUUACUGUAGCUUUGCAUUGGACUUUGAACCGGUUUGUGUAGGAUAGGUGGGAGACUGUGAAGCCGGGACGCUAGUUUCGGUGGAGUCAACCUUGAAAUACCACCCUGAUUUGUUUGAGGUUCUAACCUUGGUCCGUGAAUCCGGAUCGGGGACCGUGCAUGGUAGGCAGUUUGACUGGGGCGGUCUCCUCCCAAAAGGUAACGGAGGAGUACGAAGGUACGCUUAGGGCGGUCGGACAUCGCCCACAAAGUGCAAUGGCAAAAGCGUGCUUGACUGCGAGACCCACAAGUCGAGCAGGUACGAAAGUAGGUCAUAGUGAUCCGGUGGUUCUGUAUGGAAGGGCCAUCGCUCAACGGAUAAAAGGUACUCUGGGGAUAACAGGCUAAUUCCUCCCAAGAGUUCAUAUCGACGGGGGAGUUUGGCACCUCGAUGUCGGCUCAUCACAUCCUGGGGCUGUAGUCGGUCCCAAGGGUAUGGCUGUUCGCCAUUUAAAGUGGUACGCGAGCUGGGUUUAAAACGUCGUGAGACAGUUUGGUCCCUAUCUGCCGUGGGCGCUGGAAAUUUGAAGGGGGCUGCUCCUAGUACGAGAGGACCGGAGUGGACGAACCUCUGGUGUACCGGUUAUGACGCCAGUCGUAUCGCCGGGUAGCUAAGUUCGGAAGAGAUAAACGCUGAAAGCAUCUAAGCGUGAAACUCGCCUUAAGAUAAGAUUUCCCGGAGUCUUGAACUCCCUGAAGGGUCGUCGAAGACCACGACGUUGAUAGGUCAGGUGUGGAAGCGCAGCAAUGCGUUAAGCUAACUGAUACUAAUUGCCCGUGCGGCUUGAUCCG